AAUGAACGCUGGCGGCGCGCCUAAUACAUGCAAGUCGAGCGAGAAGACGUAGCAAUACGUUUGUAAAGCGGCGAACGAGUGAGGAAUACAUGGGUAACCUACCCUCGAGUGGGGAAUAACUAGCCGAAAGGUUAGCUAAUACCGCGUACGCUCCUUGGACUUCGGUUCAGGGAGGAAAGCGAUACCGUGGGUAUCGCGCUCUUGGUUGGGCUCAUGUCCUAUCAGCUUGUUGGUGAGGUAACGGCUCACCAAGGCUUCGACGGGUAGCUGGUCUGAGAGGACGAUCAGCCACACUGGCACUGCGACACGGGCCAGACUCCUACGGGAGGCAGCAGUAAGGAAUAUUGCGCAAUGGGCGAAA
rnacentral:rRNA from 1 species